CCACCGAACGAGUAAAAUAUCUGCAGUGCACCUGCUUUUUUCGCCCGUCGAUAAUCCAGACCUUCUUCCUUGUUGAGCCACCGUUGUUCGUUCUCUAGCUAGCUCUCUCUCUCUCUCUCUCUCUCUCCCCCUGAGGAUAAGCAUAAGCAUAAAAUGCUUCUUUUCCCACCACCUCCCCUGACUCGCUUUCCUUCAAUUCAAAUUCCUUCUCCAUUCCUCCUCCUGCACCACCACCACCAUCUUAUCUCCCAGCCGUCACUCUCAGCCACCGCUUCCACAACGGCACUAACCACUCCCACUAAUUUGGCUGACCCUUCUUUAUCUUCUACGAGACCGCUCAAUAACGACCAAAAUGACAUCGACGAUAUUCUCUCGCUCCAGAGCCGCCACUACGACUUCACUCCACUUCUUGACUUCUUGUCCAAACAAAUAUCAUCUUCUGGAACCUCCAUUGAUUCCGAGUUAGCUUCACCGACUUCACUAGAUGCCACAGAGUUUCAGCUUGCAGAGUCAUACAGGGCUGUCCCUGGUCCACUCUGGCACUCUCUCCUCAAAUCCCUCUGUACUUCUUCUUCUUCUUCUUCCAUCGACUUAGCGUACGCCGUUGUUUCAUGGCUCCAGAAACACAAUCUCUGUUUCUCCUAUGAGCUACUCUAUUCGAUUCUUAUUCACGCACUUGGCCGCUCGGAGAAGUUGUACGAGGCGUUUUUGCUGUCUCAGAAACAGACCUUAUCUCCUUUAACCUACAAUGCCCUAAUCAAUGCCUGUGCCCGCAACAACGAUCUUGAAAAGGCACUCAAUUUGAUUUCUAGAAUGCGUCAGGAUGGUUACCCGUCGGAUUUCGUCAACUACAGCUUGAUAAUUCAGUCUCUUACGCGAUCAAACAGAAUCGAUUCUGUGAUUCUGCAAAAGCUUUAUAAUGAAAUCGAGUGCGAUAAACUUGAGCUUGACGUUCAGCUCUUAAAUGACAUAAUUAUAGGCUUUGCAAAGGCAAGUGAUCCUAGCCGCGCUAUGGAAUUCCUAGGCAUGGUUCAAGGCAGUGGAUUGAGCCCAAGAACGGCGACUCUUGUGGCCGUUAUAUCAGCCUUGGGAGAAUCGGGAAGGACUACGGAAGCUGAGGCUAUUUUUGAAGAAAUGAAAGACAACGGAUUGAAACCCAGGACUAGAGCCUAUAAUGCACUUCUUAAGGGGUAUGUGAAAGCUGGUUUGCUGAGAGAUGCGGAAUUUGUUGUUUCGGAGAUGGAAAGGAGUGGGGUUUCACCAGAUGAACGCACGUAUAGUCUGCUAAUUGAUGCUUAUGCUAAUGCAGGCAGAUGGGAAAGCGCAAGAAUUGUGUUGAAGGAAAUGGAAGCGAGCAACGUGAUGCCUAAUUCCUAUGUUUUCAGCAGAAUUUUAGCUUCUUAUCGGGAUAGAGGGGAAUGGCAGAAAUCCUUUCAGGUUUUAAGGGAAAUGAAAAACUGUGGGGUGCGCCCUGAUAGGCAUUUUUACAAUGUCAUGAUUGAUACUUUUGGCAAGUUUGAUUGCCUUGAUCAUGCAAUGGCUACCUUUGAUAGGAUGCUGUCUGAGGGGAUACAGCCUGACACAGUUACAUGGAAUACACUUAUAGACUGUCAUUGUAAGGCAGGGCGGCAUGAUAGAGCUGAGGAGUUGUUUGAGGAAAUGAUGGAAAAAGGUUACUCACCAUGUACUACAACAUUUAACAUUAUGAUUAAUUCAUUUGGGGAGAAGCAGAGAUGGGAAGAUGUGAAAAAUUUGAUGGGGAAUAUGCGGAGUCAGGGUUUAUUGCCUAAUGUUGUAACGUAUACCACACUCAUUGAUAUUUAUGGGCAAUCAGGGAGAUUUAACGAUGCGAUUGAAUGCUUGGAGGAUAUGAAGUCUGCAGGGUUGAAACCAUCCUCUACCAUGUAUAAUGCAUUGAUAAAUGCCUAUGCACAAAGGGGUUUAUCUGAGCAAGCAGUAAAUGCGAUUAGGUUAAUGAGAGCAGAUGGCCUGAGGCCUAGUAUUUUAGCUCUGAAUUCCUUGAUCAAUGCAUUUGGCGAGGAUAGGAGAGAUGCUGAAGCAUUUGCAGUGCUGCAAUACAUGAAGGAAAAUGAUUUGAAGCCAGAUGUGGUAACGUAUACUACUCUUAUGAAAGCUUUGAUUCGUGUAGAUAAAUUUAAUAAGGUGCCAUCUGUGUAUGAAGAAAUGAUUUCGGCUGGGUGCACUCCAGAUAGGAAAGCUAGAGCAAUGCUGCGCUCUGCACUAAGAUACAUGAAGCAAACACUAAAAUUAUAGGAAACAAGUAAGAUUUCCCGGACCAGGUGAACUGUGGGAUCAGUUGUCUUGGACUCAUUUUUAAGGUCAUUAUUCAUUUUGCCAAUUUAAGGAACAACUAUAUGUUUGUACAUGAAUAAUUGGGAAGGGUUUUCAUCCGGGAACAACGGGAUUCUGGAUCCAAAAACCAUACCUUAAGAUCAAAACACAGAUUUGAGGACAUCUUCAUUCAUCCUCUCUCAUUUAGAUUGUAAAGUUCUCUGUUUCAUACAAACACCAAGUAAUGUACAAGUUGUAUCAGUGUCAUGUAUUAUAAUGAGAAUUGACAACUCCAAUUACUCUUGUAUCAUAAAGGAAAAUAGGUGCAAUUUCUUAAUAGAAUUACAUCCUUGUUACUCUGUAACAUAAUGAUUCUACAAAAACAGUGGACGUUUAAGUUUCUGUUAUACAAUGGUUAUUUGCCUGCCA